GAAAUGCGAUAAGUAAUGUGAAUUGCAGAAUUCAGUGAAUCAUCGAAUCUUUGAACGCACAUUGCGCCCCCUGGCAUUCCGGGGGGCAUGCCUGUUCGAGCGUCAUUUACACCACUCAAGCUCUGCUUGGUAUUGAGCCGCGCCAGCAAUGGCCAGCUCCAAACUCAGUGGCGGCGCCGUCGGGUUCCGAGCGUAGUAACAACUCUCGCUGUGGACUCCUGCGGUUGACGACCAGCAACCCAAAUUUUUUUAUGGUUGACCUCGGAUCAGGUAGGAAUACCCGCUGAACUUAA
rnacentral:misc_RNA from 1 species